GUUACCUUGUGAACAAGUAAUCAUCACACGAGAAGGUUUACGUGCAAAAUAGGUUAUGGAUCUCUGUUUGCGAAACACCAUGUACAACAACCUGCUGAAAAAUAAAUGAACCAAUUAACUUCAAUUGCCUUAAUGCAAAAUGCAACAGUACUAAAUGUUAUAACAAUACUGUGGAAACAUGGCACUGUUCGUCAAACAACACAGAUAGCGGAAACCUGAAAAGAAAAGAAGUUUAUUACGAGUGCUCCAAUUACUGUUUGAAUGUAAAACGUGCUAGUUCAACGAAUAACUAAAACAGUGAAAGUGCAACUUACCUCGUGAACUAAUCACCAUACAAGGAAGUGUACAUGCAUGAAUUUUGCAGAUUAACAAGAAGAAAUAAAGUAGCUGAUAAGUGUAGAAAGUGAUAUAAGACGAUUGAAGACAACCGUAGUAAGUAUUUAAGGCAUAUCAAAGAAUCAGAUGAUGUUGUGGGAAUGCUCUAGGUAAGUGAUGCAGCAUCGAAAGAGUAGAACCUGAAGAAUUACAGACAAUGUUAAUCUAACAAGUAGAUUUUAAUCACUAAUAAGGGAACUAACUCAUAUCAUACACAAAAUAAUAGCAAAUAGCAAGUACAUGCAAUAAUAAAUUAAUAGGAAAAAUAAGAAAGGUUAAUAAACACAGGAAUAGGUUAGAAAUUAAUCAAGAUAGACUAACUAAAUAUUAACAACAUGACCGAACUCGGUGCAAAAGAAUAAAGUUACGCUAUACAAAAUAUCUGGUAACACAAUACGCAAAAAACAUUAACUAAAUUAAACAAGACUUAUAUAAAUGCAAGUCGUGUAUAAUCAAAACAAUGACUACUGAAAUUCGGUAACAACACAAUCCAUGCUAUCACAUUUAAGUAACACACGGUAUUGACACACACAAUAUCAUAAUACACAAAACAAUAUUACAGAAACACUACUACAUAAAAAUUAUAGUAAUUAACAAUUAAUUAGCUAUUUCAACAACACGCUACUGUUGACAUUAAACCAACGAUACACGCAAGCGACCAUGUUGAAAAAUUCGUCGCGCGCACCCCACACAUACGCACCUCAUCACAAAUAAUAGCCAAUACAAUGUAAUACAGCAUCAUAAUAACAAUGUUAGGUACUAAUAAAAAAAAACAAGAAAAAAAGGGGGAGAGAGUUAAGGAAAAUAUAUAUAAUAAAUAACAACUAACAUAAUCAUAACAUAUUAUAUAUAUAUUAUAUUAUAUACAGAGAUACAGUAUUCAUACAAGGAACAAGUCCGAAUGAAACAUAUAUAUAUUAA